AACGCUCUCUUUCCUUUGUUCUUCGUGUGCUGCCAUUAACACCCUCUGAGAGUGUAAAAAAUUCAGCUCGAAACCACACCAGUUUCACCUAAAAAUUAAUCUAGGUUUGAGUUCGAGUUUGUUCCAUUUUAGCUGGGUUAUGUAUUCUGUUAGUUAUAUGGAUUGUUUGACCUAAAAUUUGAUCGAUGAAGAUGAAGAAGAUGGUUGAGACUUGAUUCUGCUGAUGAUAAAUUACGUUGGUUUAAUCUUUUUCUUUGAAGAGCUCAUACUAGCUACUGGUGCAGGGUGUACGGAUAGUUGUUACUGGAUAAGAUAAACAAGAGCAAUACUUCAUUUUGUUAAUCAUUUUUUGUACAUCCAUCUCAUUUGCCUCUUUGUGGUGGCUAAGUUUUGUCGUACCAUUGAUUGGGACUUGUACGUUGGUACUCUCAAUUGGAACUUGUACGUUGUUACAGACUGUGAUUGGUAUUUCCACUUCUAAAAUCAGAAGUUUGAACGGAGAACUGCUCAAGCACAGAACUUUAAAAAUUGAAGGUCCUCAAGAGACAAGGGGCAUUUCUGAAUAAAAACAGGUGGAGGAUAGGAAGGAAAAACUUACAAAACUACUGGAUUGGAAGGGCGUGGAUAUGACAAAGGCAUACAUGCUUGAUACACGAGGCCGUGCAGUCAAAAUUCAAAAAAUCGGAAAAGACUGCUCCUUUUGGUUGGGAUGUAGGUUGAGCAUGAAGAAGACAUGGUGUUGUUGCUGACAUGGUUGAUGGCAGUAGAGGAUAUGAGCUGAUGGAAAUUUGUGUUUAUGGAGUCUGUCAUGGCUUCAUCUCGGACAAGAUUACAAAAAGGGGAGAAGACUGUUAAUGGGUGUGUGGCUGUUGCAGGUGUUUGGUCUGAACUGCAAUUAUCUGUUGGAAUGGAGAACAUGGGUCUGUUGUGGUUGGUGUUGGUCUGAGUUUUAUAGAUGAAUGUUAGGAUUCAGGAACAAAUUGCAGGUGACAGAGAAGUGGUUUGAUGAGUUUGAAGAUGUUGUUGGACUGAUACUUUUAAGCCAUGAUUUGGGUCAAGGUUUCUUGAUCUCAGGUGUUGGUGGUGGUUGCAAUGGAACCAUGUGUCUGAAGCUGUUGUCUGCUGGUUUCGAACGACAAUUUUGGUUUUUGGGAUUCAGAGUUUGAGAUAGUUUUGAUGUGGUGCAGGAAAAUGGUGACUGGUGUUGGGAUUUGGUUUGUUUGCUGUUGCAGAAAGUUGUUAUUGCUGGUGGUAGUUUGUAGACAAACUGAGUAGCAGUUGAAAUGAGAACUGAUGUGCAGGGAUUCAGGGAAGCAAUUUGGCUAUGUUCUGUGCAAAUGGCCUAGGCCAAGGCCAUUGAACCGAGUCAGAGCAGCUGAGUCAGUAACUGACUCAAGCCCCAGACCGUUAGUUUAACCAGUGACCACCUAAUUUUUUUCUCGUUACCGGAAGAUGAUUUCCGCUGACUUUUCCGGCCAACUUCAAGUAAUUUAACUUAUAUUAGCUUUUUCUCCUUUAGUUGGAAAACCGAGUCAGAGGAGCAUUUUUUUUUAUCAUUUGUCAACAUUUAUGAGAAAGUUAAAGAUAAAUUAUUAACAAUAAAA